CCCUGUAUUCAAAAGUGAUUGUGUAGCCUGUGGCCUGGAGACUGAUACUGCAGGGGAGGAUACCGAAGCCUUUCCAGUGUAUGGAACGUCUGCUCCUGUCCUUGUCGGUCCCUGGGGCUUUGGAACA